GCACCAGAGAAGCAGACGAUGGCCGAGGAGCAGGAAGUCCAGUUGCAGAUGCUGCAGCAGGUCCGCGGAAUCGCUGGGCUGAGGGGCUUCUGCUGCUGUCUCUUGGUGGGUCGGCUUGUUUCGUGGUGCUGGGGACGGACCCCAGGGCUGCAGCCUGCCGUGGACACCCUCCCACCCAGCUGCACCCAGCCCAGGUCUCAGAAUCAGGUGGACGGACGUCCCUGCAAGGCCACCCACGUCUUCUCCACCUCUGUGUGUAAGGACCUUCUCAGAAGUCAUUUCAGCCCAGCACAGGGAGAAUCAGACCCCGGGAAUCGCCCAGGCAAUGGGGAACAGGAGUGCCGGUGUGGCCAGCGUCUCCCCCACUGUGCCCCAAAGACCCGACAAGAACCAUGUUAGAUGAGAAAAAGUUGAUUUGGGGCUCACGGUUCAGAGGUCUCAGUCCAAGGUUGGUGGCUCCACAGCUCUGGCCCAAGGACAGCCCAGUGACCACCUCCUCCAGCCACACCCACCUGCCCGGGUACCACCCAGAGGAUCCUACCAGUGGGUUAGUGCUCUGACCAGGUGUGCCGUCUUUCUGAAGGAAGACUUGGGGCCACCCUGAACACCCUGAGUGCUGGUGCAGCCUGUCCUCAGCAAUGCUCCUGACUCCAGGGGCACUCCCUUCCCCCAUCCUGUUCCCUCCUGUGGCCCCCCAAUGCCACCUCUGCGCACAGCCUCGUCGGGGCUCCUGCUUUCCCAGUGACCCGCAGUGAGACAGGACUGGUGACGUCUGGGGUGUGCAAUGACAUGGUCCCUCGCUAGCUGCUCAGCGUGACCAGUCCAGUGCCUCUUGGGCUUUGUGCAUUUAGUCAUCCGCUCACUACUCAGCAGCCAUGAAGCAUGUCCACCUGUGGCCAUCUCAGAAGAAGAAAAGGUAAAGUUAAGCCGGGCAGAUACGUCCUCUGCCCUCCUGGAAGGCCUAGUGUCAUGGGAAAAGCCAAUUAAUGAAACGUUGGCACAACUGGCUCUAAACCUGGAGCGGCGCAGUCUCGGGAGGGAAGCGCGUGAAGCAGCAGGGCAGGCUGAGAUGAGCGGCCUCUUUGUGGAGGGAAGACGAGGCCUGGGAGAGACCUCGGUGGCCCCUUGGCUUCAUCUGCAUGGAGCCGUGGUCUGGGGAGAGGGUGGAGCCACAUGAACCAAGGUCUUCAAAUGAGUGGACCCCGACCUGGGAGGAAAUAAAGGGUCCCAGAAGGGCUUGGCUAACGGAGCCCGGCGUGCCUCACCCUGGGAUCAGGUUGCCCAGGUGCUCAGUUCACUGCCUGGUGGGAGGAAUGACCACGGGCCGUUGACAGCUGGGACAGGAGCCUUCCGGAGCUCACGCCAGCCCGUCUCCCUUGGCCAGCACUUUGGGUGAUGGAAGGAAAGAGGACUCCCAGCUCUGACCCCAAGGGGCUUCUCCAGGGCAAGCACGUGCUCCGAUUGGACUUGGCAAAGGUUGCCAGGUGGGGAGCUCUCUGAUAGGGGGAUGCCGGGUGCCGGGGCGUGUGCAUUCCCCCUCAUUGAGUGGCUUCACUGUGCCCGACGCUGGCGCUCUCUGCUCCAUGCUUCCAACGUCUGUGAGGUCUUUCUUCUUCUCCUUCAUCUGAAGAAGUCUCACCGCGCUCUCAAGCCUGAGCUGAAGUGCGGCUCCCUCCAGGGACCCUCUUGGAACACCCUGCCCGGCAGUGCCCGCCUCCCUCUCUCGACCUCUGCUCCUAGAGCAUGUCGUGCGGCCUCUGAUCACGGCUGGUUCAGCUUGGCUGUCCAAGGGCAUGAACAGCACAGCGCCCUAGAACCCCCAGCGUGUCCCAUCUCAUUCUAUCCCCGCAAAUAAGGCCCGUGUUCCCUGAAACACAGGGAUUUCCUCUCCACCUGGUCCCCAUAGUUAAAAAAUGUUCCUGAACUUGGUAACGGGGAGCGUUUGACUUCCCCUUCAGGAAAUGUCUAGGUCUGAAUUUACUCUCAGGAUGCAGACAGACAUGGACACUUACGUCUUUUGUACUUGAAAAGCUCAACAUGUCACAUCAUAGUUAAAGCAUGAUGAUGGUGAUGACGACGAUGGUGAUGAUAGGUAGUAAUAAUAGCGAUGGUGAUAGUGAGAAAGGUGGUAAGCGUGGUCAUGGUGGUGGAGGUGAUAGUGAUAGUGACAGUGACGGUGAUUAUGAGAGUGGUGGUGA